rnacentral:rRNA from 1 species
AACGCGAAGAACCUUACCAGCCCUUGACAUCCCGGUCGCGGGAACCAGAGAUGGAUCCCUUCAGUUCGGCUGGACCGGAGACAGGUGCUGCAUGGCUGUCGUCAGCUCGUGUCGUGAGAUGUUGGGUUAAGUCCCGCAACGAGCGCAACCCUCGCCCUUAGUUGCCAUCAUUCAGUUGGGCACUCUAAGGGGACUGCCGGUGAUAAGCCGCGAGGAAGGUGGGGAUGACGUCAAGUCCUCAUGGCCCUUACGGGCUGGGCUACACACGUGCUACAAUGGCGGUGACAGUGGGACGCAAUGGAGCAAUCCUGCGCAAAUCUCAAAAAGCCGUCUCAGUUCGGAUUGUGCUCUGCAACUCGAGCACAUGAAGUUGGAAUCGCUAGUAAUCGCAGAUCAGCACGCUGCGGUGAAUACGUUCCCGGGCCUUGUACACACCGAUAGC